rnacentral:lncRNA from 1 species
GGCUUAUCUUUUUGUUGGUUGUCUCGUCGUCCGUUUACCGACGGUUGUGUGGUCAUACUUCGGAACUGUGACGCAGCAUAAGACGGCGAUGGCGGCCGGCGUACGUACGUGUUCGAUGGUGCAGGAUCCAGACAUCCGAAUGAGAAUCUUCGAUGAAAGUAAUUAGCGGUGAAAUACUUGCGCGGAGCCGUGAGCGCCUCACGGAGAAGGCAUCGAUCAGUCAGUCGGCCGUUGUCACGCGCGCAUCGUGAGGCGGCGGCGGCAUGACGGGCGAAGAAGGGUAGGUAGGAUGGGAAGCGCACGUACGGGACCCCGCGUUUUGUUCAGUACCGCGCUGCCGAUUCGUACCCAGGGUCCAGGCCACGAAGCAGCCAAGCAGGCCCGCGAUUUUUUUUCCUUUUUCCGUUAUCGCUGUUGCCGGCAUUUAAUUACGUCGUUUUUUUUCUUUUUCUUAAACAUCUGUCUUUUACCGAUUCAUAAAAACGAAAGAAACAACUUUUAAAAUAUAUCCUUAGUAAAACAAAACGUAACGUCAACAAGAUUUGAAGUCAAAAUCGUCAUGUCUUUGAUGAUGAAAUUAUGCAACACUAGACCUAUACAGAGACUAGAUUAACUUUGUGGGUAAUCAUAAUUGGUGACAAUAUAAGACCAUUGAACACAGUGUGACCAGGGACACAGCCCUCCAAGACAGAUUAUCAAAUUGUUUAUUGGCUAUUGAACCAACGAGCCGGAAAACAUCAAAAUAUCCAACGACCUGGAAAACAUCAAAAUAUCAAUAGAACAAAGAGGUAGUUGCACCAGUGGCCCAACAAAUUGAGAGAUGUGAGCACGUCAAUCUAACAAGUUGC